CUCAUUCCCGGGAUGUGUUCCGCUUGCACUGAUAUGUUGCGGUCCAGGCAGAACUCCCAGAAAUCCUUCGCCAAUUCCGCAAGUAUUGCUGACCUCGUGCCCCCGAAGUGGUUGAUAUAUCGAACUGCGGACACGUUGGCAAUUGAUAUGAAGUCCCUGUUCCUCCCUGGACCAUCUUCCUCCGGUGGAGAAAGGUCCGCAGCGCGCACCCCAACUGAGCAAGCUUGCAUCGGAUUC